rnacentral:rRNA from 1 species
UAGUGGCGGACGGGUGAGUAACGCGUGGGUAACCUGCCUUGUACAGGGGGAUAACAGUCAGAAAUGACUGCUAAUACCGCAUAAGCGCACAGGACCGCAUGGUCCGGUGUGAAAAACUCUGGUGGUAUAAGAUGGACCCGCGUUGGAUUAGCUAGUUGGCAGGGUAAUGGCCUACCAAGGCGACGAUCCAUAGCCGGCCUGAGAGGGUGAUCGGCCACAUUGGGACUGAGACACGGCCCAGACUCCUACGGGAGGCAGCAGUGGGGAAUAUUGCACAAUGGGGGAAACCCUGAUGCAGCAACGCCGCGUGAGUGAUGACGGCCUUCGGGUUGUAAAGCUCUGUCUUCAGGGACGAUAAUGGCGGUACCUGAGGAGGAAGCCACGGCUAACUACGUGCCAGCAGCCGCGGUAAUACGUAAGGUGGCGAGCGUUGUCCGGAUUUACUGGGCGUAAAGGGAGCGUAGGCGGAUUUUUAAGUGAGAUGUGAAAUACUCGGGCUUAACCUGAGUGCUGCAUUUCAAACUGGAAGUUUAGAGUGCAGGAGAGGAGAAGGGAAUUCCUAGUGUAGCGGUGAAAUGCGUAGAGAUUAGGAAGAACACCAGUGGCGAAGGCGCUUCUCUGGACUGUAACUGACGCUGAGGCUCGAAAGCGUGGGGAGCAAACAGGAUUAGAUCCCCUGGUAGUCCACGCCGUAAACGAUGAAUAGUAGGUGUAGGGGUUGUCAAUGACCUCUGUGCCGCCGCUAACGCAUUAAGUAUUCCGCGGGGGGAGUACGGUCGCAAGAUUAAAACUCAAAGGAAUUGACGGGGGCCCGCACAAGCAGCGGAGCAUGUGGUUUAAUUCGAAGCAACGCGAAGAACCUUACCUAGACUUGACAUCUCCUGCAUUACUCUUAAUCGAGGAAGUCCCUUCGGGGACAGGAAGACAGGUGGUGCAUGGUUGUCGUCAGCUCGUGUCGUGAGAUGUUGGGUUAAGUCCCGCAACGAGCGCAACCCUUAUUGUUAGUUGCCAUCAUUAAGUUGGGCACUCUAGCGAGACUGCCCGGGUUAACCGGGAGGAAGGUGGGGAUGACGUCAAAUCAUCAUGCCCCUUAUGUCUAGGGCUACACACGUGCUACAAUGGUCGGUACAAUAAGACGCAAGCCCGCGAGGGGGAGCAAAACUGGAAAACCGAUCUCAGUUCGGAUUGUAGGCUGAAACUCGCCUACAUGAAGCUGGAGUUGCUAGUAAUCGCGAAUCAGCAUGUCGCGGUGAAUACGUUCCCGGGCCUUGCACACACCGCCCGUCA